rnacentral:rRNA from 1 species
UACAGAGGGUGCGAGCGUUAAUCGGAAUUACUGGGCGUAAAGCGCACGUAGGCGGCUUGGUAUGUCGGGUGUGAAAUCCCCGGGCUCAACCUGGGAACUGCAUCCGAAACUGCAAAGCUAGAGUCUCGGAGAGGAUCGUGGAAUUCUCGGUGUAGAGGUGAAAUUCGUAGAUAUCGAGAGGAACACCGGUGGCGAAGGCGGCGAUCUGGACGAUGACUGACGCUGAGACGCGAAAGCGUGGGGAGCAAACGGG